CAUCAUCACCACACCUGAUUAUCUUUCAGGCGUGAUUGUAUGUUUGGAAGAUAAUAAAAUAUCUUCCGAGUGUAAUAAAAAUCAGUGUAAAAGCAAUAAAUACCCCCUCGGAAGGCAAUUUUCGAGGGGUUUUCUU
rnacentral:sRNA from 1 species